GAAACUGCCUGAUUGAGGGGGAUAACUACUGGAAACGGUAGCUAAUACCGCAUAACGUCGCAAGACCAAAGAGGGGGACCUUCGGGCCUCUUGCCAUCGGAUGUGCCCAGAUGGGAUUAGCUAGUAGGUGGGGUAAUGGCUCACCUAGGCGACGAUCCCUAGCUGGUCUGAGAGGAUGACCAGCCACACUGGAACUGAGACACGGUCCAGACUCCUACGGGAGGCAGCAGUGGGGAAUAUUGCACAAUGGGCGCAAGCCUGAUGCAGCGACGCCGCGUGGGGGAUGACGGCCUUCGGGUUGUAAACCUCUUUCAGCAGGGACGAAGCGAAAGUGACGGUACCUGCAGAAGAAGCACCGGCCAACUACGUGCCAGCAGCCGCGGUAAUACGUAGGGUGCGAGCGUUGUCCGGAAUUACUGGGCGUAAAGAGCUCGUAGGUGGUUUGUCGCGUCGUUUGUGGAAUACCGCAGCUUAACUGCGGGGUUGCAGGCGAUACGGGCAUAACUUGAGUGCUGUAGGGGAGACUGGAAUUCCUGGUGUAGCGGUGGAAUGCGCAGAUAUCAGGAGGAACACCGGUGGCGAAGGCGGGUCUCUGGGCAACAACUGACGCUGAGGAGCGAAAGCGUGGGGAGCGAACAGGAUUAGAUACCCUGGUAGUCCAUGCCGUAAACGGUGGGCGCUAGGUGUGAGUCCCUUCCACGGGGUUCGUGCCGUAGCUAACGCAUUAAGCGCCCCGCCUGGGGAGUACGGCCGCAAGGCUAAAACUCAAAGGAAUUGACGGGGGCCCGCACAAGCA
rnacentral:rRNA from 1 species